rnacentral:rRNA from 1 species
UGCAGUCGAGCGGUGCACAGAGAGCUUGCUCUCGGGUGACGAGCGGCGGACGGGGUGAGUAAUGUCUGGGAACUGCCUGAUGGAGGGGAUAACUACUGGAAACGGUAGCUAAUACCGCAUAAUGUCGCAAGACCAAAGUGGGGGACCUUCGGGCCUCAUGCCAUCAGAUGUGCCCAGAUGGGAUUAGCUAGUAGGUGGGGUAACGGCUCACCUAGGCGACGAUCCCUAGCUGGUCUGAGAGGAUGACCAGCCACACUGGAACUGAGACACGGUCCAGACUCCUACGGGAGGCAGCAGUGGGGAAUAUUGCACAAUGGGCGCAAGCCUGAUGCAGCCAUGCCGCGUGUGUGAAGAAGGCCUUCGGGUUGUAAAGCACUUUCAGCGGGGAGGAAGGCGUUAAGGUUAAUAACCUUAUCGAUUGACGUUACCCGCAGAAGAAGCACCGGCUAACUCCGUGCCAGCAGCCGCGGUAAUACGGAGGGUGCAAGCGUUAAUCGGAAUUACUGGGCGUAAAGCGCACGCAGGCGGUCUGUCAAGUCGGAUGUGAAAUCCC